UACGAAGGGGGCGAGCGUUGUUCGGAUUUACUGGGCGUAAAGGGCGCGUAGGCGGCCGAUCAAGUCAGGCGUGAAAGCCCCGGGCUCAACCUGGGAAUGGCGCUUGGGACUGGUUGGCUUGAGUUCGGGAGAGGAGAGUGGAAUUCCCGGUGUAGCGGUGAAAUGCGCAGAUAUCGGGAAGAACACCCGUGGCGAAGGCGGCUCUCUGGAACGCAACUGACGCUGAGACGCGAAAGCGUGGGGAGCAAACAGG
rnacentral:rRNA from 1 species